UACGAAGGGUGCUAGCGUUGUUCGGAAUCACUGGGCGUAAAGCGUACGUAGGCGGCUUUGUAAGUCGAUUGUGAAAUCCCCAGGCUUAACUUGGGAACUGCAAUCGAAACUGCUUGGCUUGAAUAUGGUCGAGGGUAGUAGAAUUCCUAGUGUAGGGGUGAAAUCCGUAGAUAUUAGGAGGAAUACCGGUGGCGAAAGCGACUACCUAGGCCAUUAUUGACGCUGAGGUACGAAAGCGUGGGGAGCAAACAGG
rnacentral:ncRNA from 2 species